rnacentral:rRNA from 1 species
UACGUAGGGCGCAAGCGUUGUCCGGAAUUAUUGGGCGUAAAGAGCUCGUAGGCGGUUUGUCGCGUCUGCUGUGAAAUCCCGAGGCUCAACCUCGGGCUUGCAGUGGAUACGGGCAGACUAGAGUGCGGUAGGGGAGACUGGAAUUCCUGGUGUAGCGGUGGAAUGCGCAGAUAUCAGGAGGAACACCGAUGGCGAAGGCAGGUCUCUGGGCCGCAACUGACGCUGAGGAGCGAAAGCAUGGGGAGCGAACAGG